ensembl:lncRNA
CUCUCCUGAACCAAUGGAAUUGGGAGGGAUGGUGCGCAGGGAGACCGGAGGGGGUUCCUGCUCGAGCAUCAUCUAUGGUCGCAGAGAGCACACUGCUGGUCGUUGCCGGGUUGGUUCCUCUGGGCAUAGAGAAGGCAGGCAGGGCACUCUGGCAUCACCCCAGACCAGGCUCCCAGAACGUUAAGGCAGACGCAUUGUCUCAGCUGUAUGAGACAGAGGAGCGGUCCAUGGAUCCUACUCCCAGCUUCGUGUUUGGUGCCAGUAGUGUGGGAGCUGGACGCGGACAUUGAGCGGGCGUCACGUGCAGAGCCCUCUCCUCCUGAGUAUCCAGCUGGUUG